CCUCAUAGCGGUCUCCGUUGGAUGGGAAGGCCUCAAUUUCACUCCCGAGGGUCCACUGUCGCGCUGAAGACACUCCUUCUGCCUCGAUGUCGUCCGGAUGCAGAUUUCGGUCUCUCAGGAACGUUUGUGGUGUAGAAUACAUUCAGAAAGAGCAGUUAUGACAGUUGGAGGUGGUCUUAUAUACAGGAUGGGUGGGGCUAACACUUGAUAAAGCCAUCGUUUUUCUUGUAAGUUAUCACAUUAUAGUAUGUAAUGCAAUAACAUUACAUUGCUAAGCACUAUUAUUUUGUAACACUAUAUUAAUUCAAUAAUGGUUUGUAAACCAAUAUGAGGCAAUAGUAAGCAAACUUUUACAUUGUUUGCACUUCCAACAUAAAUGUUUUUAGACAUUCCUUAGGAUGUUCAGUAAAUGUAAAAAUAAAUAAAUAAAAUGUUGAAAUAGUUUCAUCUUAUAAUAGGACACAUGUUUAAUAUUUUAAGACCUUAAUUGUUGUUAUUUAUUCCAAAAUAAAAAAAAAUAGUAGAGGUAUAAUUAUCUAAAUCAUAUGGAGGCUUGAUUUUUAGUUUUAGGACUCUUAAUAUAUCUGGAUCAACUUGUGAUUCUAAAGGAAAGUUUUAACUGAAUAUAUUCUCAUUUUGGAAUUUUAGGCAAUCUAUUUUUUUCUUGCAAUGACUAAAAUGAUAUAAAAAUCUAGUUAAUUCAAAGUAUUAAUAUUUUUAUGUGUACGUGUUUUUUUUUAAAUCAAGCUGAGAUUGUUUGAG